AGCGGAUCCAGGCGUUCCUUCCCACCUCCCUCAACAGCCACACACCCGCACGGCCACCGGCCGCGGACAGGAGCCCGAGCCCGGGACACAGUACCGUGCGCUGUCACCCACUUGACAACAAUGAAGGCAGUCCCUUGGAAUUGAGGAUGAAUUAAUUCCAUUCCAUUUUUCUGUGUUCUUGGGUGGCUAACAGGGCUGGCAUAGAAGCCGCAGAUACUUUGACAAGAUGGGGAUUGUUCGUGAAGUAAUCCACUCUUCCAGUUAUCUGGAAAGAAUAUGCUCAAAAUACUCAGUAGAUCAGAUAGCAUUGAUGAAAUAAUAAGAACGAUGCAAAAGAACAUAUUUUAAAAGAAAAGCCUUGUUUUUCUGGUAUUAUAAUUUAUCACAGAUAUUUGGACAUGAGUGUAAAGGUCAACUGAACUGCAGUAUGCUGAUUGCACUUAAAGUUUUGCUGUCUUCUUGUUAUUGUAAUUAUUCAUUGCUCAUCUGGGGCUAGACAAUUACAGUUUGUGUAAAUUUUACUUAAAGAGGAAUAACUAACUAUGGAAAAAUAUUGUGAUUUGUAGCAUAAAUCAGCAGUUAGUGAAGCCUGGGUUAAUCAAGGGCUAUCAAUGUGAAUUUGUUAAGAGAAUGUUGUGUAAAUUUUUUUGAGCAAGUAAGGAAUGUUUUUGAGAGUGUGGUUCAACCCUGGGAAAGAGAUAUCACUAAUUACUCAUAAAUUUCUAUCAGUUCUCCCCCCUGCCUCUGCCACACCAGAAAAAAAAACCCAAGCCUGUCCAACAUCUUCCCAUAGCACAUGCCCUCUAAUUCAGGCAGCAAGCUGGUAAACCACUUCUGCAUCCUCUUCAAAGCUUCCGCAUCCUUCCUUUAAUGGAGUGACCAGAAUUGAAUGCAAUACUCCUGAUGUGGCCUAAACAGAUUUUUAUAAAGCUGCAAUAUAAUCUCCUGAUGUUUGAACUCAGUGCCUCAACUAAUAAAGACAAGUAAGCUGUAUGCCUUCUUUACCACCAUAUCAACCUGUACAGCCACUUUCAAUGACCUAUGGACUUGGACCCCAAUAUCCCCCUGUACAUCAACACUGUUAAGUAACCAUGUACUUCCCGAUUACUUUUGAUUUCCUGAAGUGCAAGACCUUAUAUUUGUCUGGAUUAAACUCCAUCUGUCAUCUCUCCACCCCUAUCUGCAACCAAUCUAUACCUGCUGUAUCCUCCACUAUGCAUAACAUCACCAAUCUUUGCAAAUUUACUAACCCACCCAUCUACAUUUUCAUCCAUGUCAUUUUUAUAUAUCAUAAACAGCAGAGGUCUCACUACGGAUCCUUGCAGAACACCACUAUCAUGAACCUCCAGCCUGGAUAGGUUCCAUCAACCUACCAGAGCGACAGGUCUUCAGCAAAUGCUAUCCCAUUGGCUCUUCACACAACCUUGGAACAUCUGGACAACAAAGAUGCAUACAUCAGGAUGCUCUUUAUUGAUUACAGCUCGGCAUUUAAUACCACUGUCCCUUCAAAACUAAUCAGUAAACUCCAAGACCUGGGCCUCAAUACCCCCUUGUGCAGUUGGAUCCUGAAUUUCCUCACUUGCAGACCCCAGUCAGUUUGCAUUGGUAAAACCAUCUCCUCAACAAUCUCCAUCAGCACAGGAGCACCAUAAGGCUGUGGUCUCCCCCUGCUCUACUCGCUUUACACCUAUGACUGUGUGGCUAAGUACAGCUCCAACACCAUAUACAAGUUUGCUGAAGAAACCACUGUUGUGGGCUGUAUCAAAAGUGGUGAUGAAUCAGCAUACAGGAGGGAGAUUGACAAUUUGGCUGAGUGGUGUCAUAACAACAACCUCUCACUAAAUGUUAAUAGGACCAAGGAACUGAUUGUAGACUUCAGGAGAGGGAAGCCAGGGGUCCACGAGCCAGUAAGCAUCAGAGAGUCAGAGAUGGAGAUAGUCAAUAACUUUAAAUUUCUGAGUGUCACUAUCUCAGAGGACCUGUCCUGGAUCCAUCAUAUAAAUAUUAUUGUGAAGAAAGCAGAACAGUGCAUCUACUUCCUCAGGAGUCUGCGUAGGUUCGGCAUGUCAUCAAAAACCUUGCAAACUUUUAUAGCUGUAUGGUGUAAAGUGUGCUGACUGGCGGUGGCCUGGUAUGGGAACACCAAUGCCCUUGAGCAGAAAAUCCUACAAAAGGUAGUGGAUUCGGCCCAGUACUUGACAGAUAAAACCCUCCCGACCAUUCAGCAUAUCUACAUGAAAUGUUGCUGUAGAAAAGCAGCAUCAAACAUCAAAGAUCCUCACCACCCAGGCCAUGCUCUUUUCUCGCUGCUGCCAUCAGGUGGAAGGUACAGGUGCCUCAGGACUUGCACCACCUGGUUCAAGAAUAGUUACUGCCCCUCAAACAUCAGGCUCUUGAACAAAAAGGGAUAACUACACUCUUUUAUAUUGUUAUUUCAUGCUCGUUAUUUAUUGCUAUUUAUGAAUUUAGACUUGCAUUUGCACAGUUUGUUUACAGUUAGUAGUUCCUGAUGUUUACAGUUGACAGUUAUUGUUCUAUAGAUUAGCGAAGCAUGCCCGCAGAAAAAGAAUCCCAGGAUUGUAUGUGGUGAUGUAUGUACUCUGAUAAUAAUUUUUUUACUUUACAAUACUAUCUGUCUUCUAUGGUUAAACCAAUUCUGAAUUAAAAGAGCCAAGUCUUCAUGGAUCUUGUGCAUAUUAAUCUUCUGGGUAAGACUAUCAUGAGGGAAUUGUUAAAAGUCUUACUAAAAUCCUUGUGGACAAGUUCUGCCUUCAUUGGAAGUGAGUGCCCUUUGCAGUGAUCAUUACUACCUACGUCCUUGCAGUAAAUAACUACUCUGCUUUGUAUCACCAAAGUCCACUAGACAAUACAUCUAUUUAAGUGCUUGUUAAAUGUCACCACUAUAUAUUUUCCAACACCUUUCAUGGUGGUGUGUGCAGAGCACUUAACAUUCUCUGCAUACGAAGCUUGCCUCAUAAAUGUGCAAGCUUUUCCUCUCUCAUCUUAAAUUCAUGUCCUCCAGUAUUUGACAGUUCUAUCCUGGCAAAAAAAAAACGAACUCUCUACCCUAUCCAGGCCUCAUUUAAUUUUACACAUUUCUCUAAGGCCGCCUUUCAGCCUCGAACACUCCAGGGAAAGCAAUUCACCAUUGUCCAACGUUUCCCCAUAGCUUGUACACACCAAACGAAACAAUAUCCUGGUAAGCCUCUUCUGCACCUCCUCCUCUUUCUUCCUACAGUGGUGAAUAAAACUGCACACAAUACUCCAAAUGUAGCCUAACAAAAAUGUUCCUCAGCUACUACAUGGCUUCCAGAUGCAAGUAUGCCAUAUGCCUUCUUUACAAACCUGUGCACUUGUAAUGUCACCGCAGGAGUAUUCAAGUGGGCUGAUGCACAGCACAGCCAUGUAAAUACUGCAUCAAGUCAUUUCUGGCACAAAUCAUUUUUAAAAUUGACAUGCACUUCUUGAUAUGGACCAUCCAGGCUCCUAACUGUAGAAAAAUACUGUGUUGUGUGGUGCAACCCUGCUCUAUCUUAGAAAUGGGUUGCAUCUACCUCACAAUACCACCACUGACAGCAGUCCUAUCUUUGGCAGCGCUGCUGUUAUAUAAAUAAUUUGGCUGUGUCACCAGCAGCAUUACAAAGAAAUGCUCAGCAAAACUGUCAUUGUAGUGAUGUUAUUGUUAUUAUUACACCAAUAUAUAGUACUAGGAAUAUACUGAAGCAACAUGGAGAAAUGCUAAAAUACUCCCAUCUUGCCUAAUGUAUUCUCUCCAACUACUCUGUUCACGUACACAGACCUCAUUAUACACUUCAUAUGCUGCAUUGCUUUUACUUUUUGAAAGAAAAGAUCAGUUCACGUGUACGCAUUAUUUGUAGAUUUACAACUCUAUAGGUUACACCUCAUUGAACUUCUCAAAUGCGGUGAUUUUGGCAUUGUAUCCAGUUCUUAUCUUGGGGAAGCUGUUACUUCUUGACAGGACUUAGUAGAGUUUUGUGCCAUUUCUUCUACAGCACAGUAUCCAUUGGAUUAACUUCUGGAAUGCUCUCAUGAUCACAUAGUUCUUUGGUAUAAUGUAUAACUUGCCGGAUUUAUAAUUCUGUCUCUUGUUUUCACAAUGUGUUCCUCUACAAUGCAUAUUUCAAUGCCCUGUUUCUAGAUGCCAUAGUUCUAAGGUGAUGUUAAUGUGUAAGCUCUGUCAUAUUAUUUAAAAUCUUUGAGACAUAAUUGUGUUUCUGUCUCAACUGCUUCUUUUCCUCCUUAAUCAAAAUUUGACUAAGCCAAAUACAGUUGUGUCUUUGCCUUUGGUCCAUUUAUAACCUGUAUGGAAUGUGGAUAUUGUAUGUAAUUUAGCAAGAGGUUUUCUAAUCUAUGUUUCAUUGUUACACUUGGGAACUUUUGCUUCUUUGGCAAUUUUCAGCGAUCUCUGUACUAUGCCAUUUGAUGCUGUUUGAUUCUGUGAAACAGAUAUGUGCUGAAUACCAUUUUAUUUUAUAAAUCACUCAAAUGGAAAUUAGUGGCACUGAGCACCAUCUCUUCAUGAGGUACAUUAAUCAUGUCCCUGACGCAAAAGUGUAAUUUUGUGUGGGUGCUUAUUCGAAUCUCAAGUGGUGCCAAGAAUAUUAUGAAUCACUAAGAGACACGGAGAACUGAUAAUAAUAUAUUUCCACCUUCUUUAUUCCACUGUUUCCAACGACAGGGCAUAUAGAGUCAUAGAAAACUACAGCACAGAAACAGGUCCUUCAGACCAUCAAGCCUUUGUGAACUAUUUAAACUGCUUAGUCCCAUUGACCUGCAUCAGGACAAUAGCCUUCCAUAUUCCUCCCAUCCAUGUACCCAUCCACACUUCACUUAAACAUUGAAAUCGGAAUCGCAUCCUCCACUUGCACUGGCAGCUUGUUCAACCCUGUCACCACACUCUUGAGUGAAGAAACUUCCCCUCAUGUUCCUUUUAAACUUUCACCUUUCAUCCUUAACCCAUAAUCUCUAGUUGUAGUCUCACCCAACCUCAAUGCAAAAGCUUGCUUACAUUUACCCUAUCUAUAUCUCUCAUAAUUUCAUAUACCCUGUACCACUUUCAAAUCUCCCCUCAAUCUUCUAUGUUUGAGGGAAUAACGUUCUAACCUAUUCAACCUUUCCAUAUAACUCAGAUCCUCCGGUCCCUACAGCAUCCUUGUAAAUUUUCUCUGCACUCUUUCAAACUUAUUUACAUCUUACCUGUAGGUAUGUGACCAAAACUGCACACAGUACUCCAAAUUAGGCCUUAUCAAUACCUUGUGCAACUUCAAUAUUGAACCUUCCUGACCAACCUCCUAUGCAAGGCAACCUUGUCAAAUGCCUUGCUGAAGUUCAUGUAGGUAACAUCCUCUGCCUUACUUUCAUCAAUGUUCCUGGUAUUAUCCUGAAAAACUCCAUAAGAUUGGUUGGACACAACCUACCACACACAAAGCCAUGCUGAUUAUCUCUAAUCAGUCCUUGUCUAUCCAAAUAUUCAUAUAUCCGGUCUCCCAGAAUACCUUCCAAUAACUUCCCCGCUACUGAUGUCAGGCUCACUGGCCUAAAAUCUCCUGGUUUCUUCUUAGUGACUUUCUUAAAUAGCGGACCAACAUCAGCUAUCCUUCAAUCCUCCUGCACCUCACCUGUUGCUAAGGAUGAUUUAAGUAUCUCUGCUAGGACCCUUGCAUUUUCCGCACUUGCCUCCCACAGGGUCCGAAGGAACACCUGGUCAGGCCCUGGGGAUUUGUCCCCCCUAAUUUUCCUUAAGACAGCAAGCAUGUCCUCCUCUGUAAUAGGUAUAGGGUUCGUGACCUUGCUGUUGCUUUGCCUCACUUCUAUAGACUCUGGGGUCCACCUCCUGAGUAAAUGCAGAUGCAAAAAAUCAAUUUAAGAACUCCCCAAACUCUUUUGGCUCCAUGCAUAGAUUACCAUUCUGAUCUUCCAGAGGACCAAUUUUAUCCCUUGCAAUCCUUUUGCUCUUAAUAUAUCUGUGAAGUCCUUGGGAUUCUCCUUCACCUUGCCUGCUAGAGCAAUCUUAUGCCUUCUUUUAGCCCUCCCGCUUUCUUCCUCAAGUGCACAUAUAUUGCAUCAUUCCACUGUAGUCAGCCAUAUUAAGGAUAGCUGUGGAACUGGUAUAAUAAUGUAAACAUUUGGUUCAACAAGUUGAGUAGGCUGAAAAUUGAACAUUGUAUGUCAUAUUCACAUAGUUAAUGAUACCUUGUAUGCAGGUUGACAGCUGUAUUUCAUACAUUGAAAUAGUGAUUGCAA